AACGCACGAGACCUGCGGACCUGCGGAAGGAUCAUUAUCAAUGCAAAGUUUCUUCAAUGUAUUUUGGAGUUUCUUUGAUAACAAUUUCUCUUCUUUUCCUUUGGAGGGCAACUUUUGAAGGAAUUGAAGGAAUCCACUGUGAUCUGUUUUCGAGCUUUCUCAAUUUGAGAAAGCUACAACCCGUUUUUUUUUCUUUGGAAAACAAACGGGUGUGGGGCCUUUUUUUAGGACUCGCAAUUC
rnacentral:misc_RNA from 1 species